rnacentral:tRNA from 1 species
UCCCCGGUGGCUCAGUGGUAGAGAAUCUGCCUGCCAGUGCAGGAGACACAGGUUCUAUUCCUGACUCGGGAA